rnacentral:rRNA from 1 species
UACGUAGGGGCAAGCGUUAUCCGGAAUUAUUGGGCGUAAAGAGUGCGUAGGUGGUUACCUAAGCGCAAGGUUUAAUCUUGAGGCUCAACCUCAUUCUGCCUUGCGAACUGGGCUACUUGAGUGCAGGAGGGGAAAGCGGAAUUCCUAGUGUAGCGGUGAAAUGCGUAGAUAUUAGGAAGAACACCGGUGGCGAAGGCGGCUUUCUGGACUGUAACUGACACUGAGGCACGAAAGCGUGGGGAGCAAACAGGAUUAGAUACCCGCGUAGUCCCUGA